rnacentral:rRNA from 1 species
GAUGAACGCUAGCGGCAGGCCUAAUACAUGCAAGUCGAGGGGCAGCACGAGAUUUCGGUCUUGGUGGCGACCGGCGCACGGGUGCGUAACGCGUAUGCAACCUACCUUAUACAGGGGAAUAGCCCAGAGAAAUUUGGAUUAAUACCCCAUAGUACCAUUUGAUGGCAUCUGAAGAUGGUUAAAGAUUUAUCGGUAUAAGAUGGGCAUGCGUAAGAUUAGCUAGUUGGUGAGGUAAUGGCUCACCAAGGCGACGAUCUUUAGGGGUUCUGAGAGGAUGAUCCCCCACACUGGUACUGAGAUACGGACCAG